rnacentral:rRNA from 1 species
CGGGGUGCAGCAGGCGCGAAAACUUUGCAAUAAGCGAAAGCUUGACGGGGCUAUCCCGAGUGCCAUCCGCUGAGGUUGGCUUUUACCCAGUCUAGAAAGCUGGGGGAAUAAGGAGAGGGCAAGUCUGGUGUCAGCCGCCGCGGUAAUACCAGCUCUCCGAGUGGUGUGGAUGUUUAUUGGGCCUAAAGCAUCCGUAGCUGGCUAAGUUAGUCCCCUGUUAAAUCCACCGAAUUAAUCGUUGGAUUGCGGGGGAUACUGCUUGGCUAGGGGACGAGAGAGGCAGACGGUAUUUUCGGGGUAGGGGUGAAAUCCUAUAAUCCCGGGAAGACCACCAGUGGCGAAGGCUGUCUGCUAGAACGCGCCCGACGGUGAGGGAUGAAAGCUGGGGGAGCGAACCGGAUUAGAUACCCGGGUAGUCCCAGCUGUAAACGAUGCAGGCUAGGUGUUAGGGCGGCUACGGGCCGCUCUAGUGCCGCAGGGAAGCUGUUAAGCCUGCCGCCUGGGGAGUACGGCCGCAAGGCUGAAACUUAAAGGAAUUGGCGGGGGAGCAC